rnacentral:lncRNA from 1 species
UCUAUAUAUGUGAAGCACUAUUUCUAAGUUUCCUUUUUGGCACACAACCACUAUUAUUUCUAAUUAGUACAAGUUGUACACUUUCACAUGCAUCUGUGUUAAUGGGACACAGAAGUAAUUAUUUUAGUUGUUGAAAACUUCAUGCACUUUGCUCAUCUAAGAAAAAGAGAAGUUCCCCAAUUAUUUGUAUUUGUAGAAAUAAAAUUGAUAAUCGUGAUGUCUGAACCAACAA